rnacentral:rRNA from 1 species
UAAGUUCUUGAAAAUUAAAAAAUUUGGCGGUAUUUUAGUCAGUUCAGAGGAACCUGUCCUAUAAUUGAUGCUCCACGAUAAGUUAAACUUAUUCUUUUAGUUUGUAUAUCGUUGUUUAGAAUUUUUUAUCAGAAUUUAAAUUUUUUAGAUUUAUUAUAAUAAUAAAUUUCAAAUCAAGGUGCAGCUUAUGAAUAAGUAGAGAUGGGUUACAUUUAAAUAAUUUUUGGAUUAUAAUUUUAAAUUUUUAUAUGAAAUUGGAUUUGAUAGUAAUAUUAAAUAUUUAUUUAUUAUGAUAUUUGCUCUAAAAUAUGUACAUAUUGCCCGUCGCUCUCCUAUAAAAUGAGAUAAGUCGUAACAAAGUAGGUGUACUGGAAAGUGUAUCUAGAAUUACAAAUUAAAGCUUUUUUGAAGUUUCUUAUUUACAUUAAGAAGAAUACUGUUUAUUCAGUUAAUUUGAUUUUAUUUAUUUAUUAAUUUUUUUUAGUAAAAGAAAUUUUAUUUUAUUAUUUAUUUAAGAAAAAUUAUUUUUAAUUAUAGUUUAUUAUAAUGUGAAUGAAUAAUUUUUAAAAUUUUAAAGAAAAAUUUAAUUUUUGUCCUUUUGUAUCAGGGUUGAUUAAAUUUAAAUUAUUUAUUUUAAUUUUCUCGAAUUUAAAAGAUUUAAUUAAUAAUUUAUUUAUAUGUGUAAAAAUAUUUUAUAAUUAUUAGUUUGAAAUGAAACGUUAAUCGUUUUUAAAUAUAUCUAGUUUCUUAAGAAAAGAAUUUAAUUCUAUCAUUAUUUAUUUAAAUUUUUAUUUUUAAUUUUUAAGUUUUAAUGGUUAAUAUUUAAUGGGAUGAGCUUUUAAUUAUUAUUUUAAAAAAUUUAUAUUUUAUUUAGUAUUUUGUAUAAUUUGAAUUGUUAAUCAUAUAAUAAUUUAAUAUUUAUUUACUUUGUAAUAUUGAUUUAUAUAAAAUUUUAAGUUUUUUAUUAAGAAAAUAAAUUUAAUUUUCUUAUUUAUUUUAUAAUGAUUAAAUUAGUAAAUAAUUUUGUAUUUAAUUAUUUUUAGUAAGGUUGGAAAAGGAAUUCGGCAAAUUUAUUUUUCGCCUGUUUAUAAAAACAUGUCCUUUUGAUUAUAAUUAAGGUUUAAUCUGCUCAAUGAAAAUUAAAUAGCUGCAGUAUUCUAACUGUACAAAGGUAGCAUAAUAAUUAGUUUUUUAAUUGAAAGCUGGAAUGAAUGAUUGGACGAGAAAAUAACUGUCUCUUUACAAUUUUUUAUUGAAUUUAACUUUUAAGUGAAAAGGCUUAAAUUUUAUUAAAAGACGAGAAGACCCUAUAGAGUUUUAUUUUUAUAUAAAUAUUUUUAGUAUAAUUUGGUUUAUAAAAAUUUAGUUGGGGUGACUAGAAGAUUAAAAUAACUCUUUAAAUUUAAAAUCAUUGAUUUAUGAAUUGAAAAUCUUAAAUUAUAAAUUUAAAUUAAAUUACCUUAGGGAUAACAGCGUAAUUUUUCUUUAGAGUUCAUAUUAAAAGAAUAGUUUGCGACCUCGAUGUUGGAUUAAAAUUUAUUUUUGGUGUAGAAGCUAAAAAAAUUGAGUCUGUUCGAC